rnacentral:rRNA from 1 species
CCUGAGAAACCCAAAAGAUCGAAUGGGGAGAUUCAGCGUCAGCGCAUUUGGUAUAUGCGCAAGUUGCGAUGUAAGUUAUCCUUGUGAUAUUAUUUGCACGUGCUUGUGUCAUUUAAUUGCCGGAUGUCGUCGGCGUGCACUUCUCCCCUAGUAGGACGUCGCGACCCGUUGGGUGUCGGUCUACGGCCCGAAUGGUAGUCUUUAAUGUCGCCGCAAGGUGUUAUAUUGAAGACCAUCGGUGUUUCCUGACCGGCUGCCCGGCGGUAUUCGCACGGUAUUGAGCCGCAAUUUUUGCGUCGAACCCGCCGCAAGCGAGGCCAGUGUCUAACCCGGUAGUACGGACCUAGUGCCGUCGCUGGGCCUGGCCAGCUGUUGGUUGUUGCGGUGUUCUUUGACUGGCUCAUUAUGAUAAUAUAUAAUUACCGGUCGGCGACGCUACUGCUUUGGGUACUUUCAGGACCCGUCUUGAAACACGGACCAAGGAGUCUAACAUGUGCGCGAGUCAUUGGGAUUUAUUUUUUUAAAACAAACCUAAAGGCGUAAUGAAAGUGAAGGUCGUCCUUGCGUCGACCGAGGGAGGAUGAGUUGCGUUACGAUGCGGCUCCGCACUCCCGGGGCGUCUCGUUCACAUUAUGCGAAGAGGCGCACCCAG